GCCCUGAACCCAGAGCCCACCCACGGAGCCAUGCGUCCACCCUCCCAGAACCCAGACCCCACCCACAGAGCCAUGCGUCCACCCUCCCCGGGCACCUCACCUUUGUUCCAGGGGUUGAGCGCUGAGGAGAGGACAAACACAAUCUAAGAUACGAGGAGAAGGAGCACCUUGCCCCGGCUUCUACCUGCUUGGCGUUGCCAACCCAGAAGGUCACAGAGUGGAAGUGGAGGAAUCGGCCUCUCUCAGGCUGCAGAAGGAGAGAAGAGCUUAAAAGGAAAAAAUCUUCUGCAGAAGGAACAUGAUUCACCAGGUGGUUACCUCUGGAGGCAGCACACUUUUUCAAAAUAAUUAAAAUAAUGUUAACACAAACUAAA